rnacentral:rRNA from 1 species
UGAGUGAUGAAGGUCUUCGGAUCGUAAAGCUCUGUGGGAAGGGACGAAAAAGCCUAACCUAAUACGUUAGGUCUUGACGGUACCUUCUUAGCAAGCACCGGCUAACUCCGUGCCAGCAGCCGCGGUAAUACGGAGGGUGCAAACGUUGCUCGGAAUUAUUGGGCGUAAAGCGCACGUAGGCGGUCCGCUAAGUCGGAUGUGAAAGCCCUCGGCUUAACCGAGGAAGUGCAUCCGAAACUGACGGGCUAGAGUACGGAAGAGGGUUUCGGAAUUCCCGGUGUAGAGGUGAAAUUCGUAGAUAUCGGGAGGAACACCAGUGGCGAAGGCGGAAACCUGGGCCGAUACUGACGCUGAGGUGCGAAAAGCGUGGGGAGCAAACAGGAUUUAGAUACCCCUGGUAGUCCACGCCGUAAACGAUGAGCGCUAGGUGUUGGGGGUAGUUG